AUAUCCCGUGUCGACCGUGAUGUGAUUGAACCGACAAGUGCAGAGGAAUCUGAGGAAUCUCCUACAUGGGACCUAAAGGACGAUCUUACAUUGCAUUGUGAGGCGUACAUUCGAAACAGACGUCUUGCCUGUUGGCUGAGACGUGCUUAAGCUCAGAUGAUGAUUAAGUCGAUCGAAUCGUACUUUUGCCUAAAAUGAUCUGUUUAAGCUCGGUUGCUGUUGCAAGCUAUUCCUGGCUCUCAGGGUCAGGUUCUUUGAUCACUAAUAGAGAACACAUGCCAUCGGCGGAGGUGAAAUCCCUUCUUGAAGAACUCGGUAUCUCGACUUCCAAUCCAAACAAAAGGAAAGAACUCUUCUCCAGAUAUCUUUGGUGAAGGGGCAAGUGAAGGAUAUGUGGGCAUCUGGUUUCCUCUUCAUGACACCAUACGCAGCAAGUAUUAUACUGUCAAUCGGCGAAUUCCAAGAGGCAACUCUAUCAAGAGUUGAUGGCAAGCUUGUUUUCGACAGCAAGCCAACUGAUGAAGCAACGUCGAGGGAUACUUGGAUGGAACCAGACCCAAUUUAUAUACCAUUGACAGCAGUGUGUUUUCUUCUCUGCUUAGUCUUCUCGCCGUGCGAGAUGAGCAUCAGCAGUCGCUCUUUCAAGAUCUUUUUUCCUCUUAUCGUUUUGCUAUGCCUGUCCAUCCAACUCAUAUCGGAGAAAACCAUGGCCACUUUAGCAUACAGGGGGAUGUAAAAUCCGGUGUGACCAGUGAUCCGCAAAAGAGGACUAGAGAGAAUACAUUUAUCAUCAAACCAGAAGAAAGAAUAUCCAAACCAUUUCCUAUAUAUAAUAUGCUUCAUGGAAUGGUAGUCUUUAUCUCUAAGAAGUCAUUUUCUCAUAAGAGCAACAAGUACUUUUCUACAAGCUGAUUGUCGUCGAUGUGAAGGGAAGCGUCAUGUCAGUUCCCAAUCUUCAUCUCAAGCUACUCAACUGACCUUAUAGCUCAUUAUACAAUUUUUACAUGCACUCUGUCUUUUUGAUGUUUUUGCUCCUUUGAUUGUCAAUAAAGCAACAUUACUUACCCAAAAAAAAAAAAAAAGGCAAAGAGAGAGAGCAAGAGCUUGGCACUUUAAGGUCCCAAAAGCUUCUCUCUUUGAUUAGAUAGGCUCUCACCCAAGCAACACA